UACAGAGGUCUCAAGCGUUGUUCGGAUUUACUGGGCGUAAAGGGCGCGUAGGCGGCCACCGCAAGUCGACUGUGAAAUCUCCGGGCUUAACUCGGAAAGGUCAGCCGAUACUGCGGGGCUAGAGUGCAGAAGGGGCAACUGGAAUUCUCGGUGUAGCGGUGAAAUGCGUAGAUAUCGAGAGGAACACCUGCGGCGAAGGCGGGUUGCUGGGCUGACACUGACGCUGAGGCGCGAAAGCUAGGGGAGCGAACGGG
rnacentral:rRNA from 1 species